rnacentral:misc_RNA from 1 species
AUCGCGACUUGUUUUUUGGAAAUCAUGUCCCGGAUAACAUCAACAUUUGGAAAAGUAGAUGGACUUAGGUCUUCAGAGAAACUGCAGGGAGUAUUUUAGACCAUAACAAGACCAUACUAGAGAACCUGUGUGACAGCCGUUGUGUAUGAAGUCACUCUAAAAAGUCUUAAGGCAAAUCAACUGAAAUAUUUGAUAAGUUAUUGAAAGUAUGGCAGACAGUGGGAGGAUUACCAUGCCAAUAGGCGUCCAACCACCAGACGUUCUUGAAUGGUCAAGAACCCUUCGCUCACGAAGUCCAUCACCAACAAGAAUGAAUGGCCUGAGGUCUCGGAGUCCAUCUCCGACCAGACUCUCGAGUGCCAGAGACGAAAACGAAUCUGCUUCACACAAAGGAGUCUAUAUGACGGACGUCCCAACCAGUGCAGGUCUACCAAAAUAUUCUGUCAACAAGAUGAAGAAGUCAAAAUCUGGCUCCAGUGCUGGACUGCGGAAAUCUACGGGAAGUCUAGCUGCGACAUUUAACGGGACAAGUAGCAGUGGGAAGCUGAAUAAGUCGGGGUCUGGGACCCAUGACUUAGGAAACAUCGAGGCAGAGUACAUAAAAAAUCUACAACAGCAAAUCUACUUCCUGGAGCUGGAGUCCAACUAUCUUCGGGAGCAGGCACGCAAGGCGACCGAGAUGCACCCACACAUGACUGCUGAGGCAGAAAGAAUGCUCGUCAAAUUAAGAGCAAUGCAGUCAGAGAUGGACAAUGCUCAGUUAGAGUGUAAGAGUAAAGACUCGUCCAUCGCUCAGUCCAUCUGUGAGAGGGAGAGACUGGCAGAACGAAUUAGGGACGAAGAAGUGAAUCACCAGCGCAACAAACGACAACUAAUGGAUGAGAUAAUUGCUUUGAAGAAGACGCGGGAUGCAUUAGAGCAUGACAUGUCUAAUAAGGACGCCCAAGUCAGCGAGGCUCGACGAGAACUUGACAUGAGUGCUACAGCCAUAAGAAAUGCAGAGCUAAAAAUCUCCACACUGAAGACCCAGUUGGACCAAAGAACAGAGCAGCACAAAAUGACUCAGAUUGCCUUGGACGAGAAGCGCUCGGAAUGUCUAAGUACCGAGACUCAGCUACGGGAGAUCGAGGAGAAAUACUACAAUAACACCGUACAGAUACAGGACAAGCUUUCUAAUGACCUUAGGGAAGAAAUCAGGUUAUUGAGACAGAAGCUAAAAGAGACUGAGAUGAACGCAGACCAUGACCGCUAUCUGAAGAGCAAGAUGUCCGAGGACAGUACCAACUUAGCCCGAGAAAAUGCCCUCCUUGAGCAAAAGCUUCAGGAGCUAGAGAGCCGGUUUAUCAGGGAGAAAGAGAUUCGAGAAAGUCAAGAGACCCGCCAUGGUAGCCAUGUUUCAGAGCUUGUUCAGCUCCGCGACAAAGAGAAGGAGGCCCGCUUUGAGCUACAACAUACUCAGGAUCUGCUGCGCAAGGAACAGGAAAGGAACAGGUUAUACUCUGAAAAGUUGGUGAAGCAGGAAGCAGUGGCUACAUCCCUUGAUCUCAGCGUGAAUACAUCUCGGAGUCGCAUCACGGAGCUCGAGAGCUACCAGAGCGGGGUGGAACAUGAAAACGCUCAGCUACGCAAAGACAAGACUCUUCUAGUGGACCAUGUGUCUGACCUGCAACGCAAGUUGGAGACGAAAGAUCGCGAUAUCAACACCCUCAGGUCCCAGAUGCACUUAAUGGAGUCCAAGGUACAGGAGCUCCAGCAUCUGAAACAGAUGGAGUCGUCCGUCCACACUCAGAAAUGGGAGGAGUUUGAGAAGUUGGCAGAGAGCAUGCGUAACCUGUCACACACAAUGUCCACAACCGGGACGUCAAGCUCCAACGUACUGCAGUAUUAAUUGAUGUCUCAUCUUGUACACCCUGAGGCUUCUUCAUUUUAGUCGACAGAGCAGCUAUGUAACAAAUGAGAAAAAACAGAGAAUCUGGUGAUCAGUUCCUCCUUAUACCAAGGCUUUUUAAACUGCAGUCUUUUUUUAUAAAGGCCUACUUCCAGAAAGUUGUGUCACUAUGUAGCUUCUGACUGGUAACCUGCUCCAACCAUGCCCUGUUUUAUUUAUUGUAGAUUAAUUUGCUUGUUGUAAGGUUUACUUCCUUUGAUAUAUGUUAGAACUAGGAGGUUAGUACAUUGUAAUCACCUUCUGGUUUAUAACAAAUGAAGGCAAACGUUUGGAAAUGGUUCUGAACAUACAAAUAUAAUUUUUAGCUGAUUAUGAUUGACAAAAAGUAGUAAUCUCUGACCACAGAUAUGCUGAUAUAUAGUAUGUUGAUCAGUCCACUUGACCUAACACAAAUCUGAUAGUUACUAAGACUUAUAGUAUAUGCAAGUGCUUUUCUAAUCCUAGACUGAUGGAAGAUUAAAAUGGUCUACACAAGACCACCAGGCAAUGACUGUUAAUUAGUGUUAGCAGUGGGACAGCCUGAAUCACUGGUGUCACAUGAUCUGUAAGACGUGUCACAUGAUCAAAAUGGUCUGUACUUCUAUUUCACCACGAUUGUACUUUUGGUAGAUAAAUAAAGGCAGAAAAAUGUCGGUAUAAUAGUCGAUUUCAUAUUAGUUUGUCACGUCUACUUAAAGAACUCGCACAACUUAAUCAUUUACUUGAUGCUAUUAUUUAGCUUUGAGCUAAUAGCUCUAAUAUUUGAAGUUCACCACUUUUGACAACUGUCUAGAUUUAUAGAUACAUAGCUGACAAAGGCUUCAAAAGGCAGUUUUUGUGAGUUUAGUGGCAUAUAAGAGCGCUACAAGCUUCUGCUUUUGACAACCGGAAGUUUACAAGCCUCACCGGUGAAGUGUGAUGGGAACACCCCCCUGACUUUUGAUCACCAUAUAAAUCCAACGUCGCUCAUAAAUCUAGUAAAACUAAUCAUAUUUCCAAAGUUCAAUAUCUGUAGAUUUCAUUCAAUAAAAAUAUGUCAACAAUUACAUUUAAAUUACUCGGAGGCACUGUAUUUAACCGGAAUUUUAGGUAGGGAUUACACUGAUCGUAUGAAACACUUGCUGAUUGGCUUAUUUAGUUGUGUGAGUCCUCAAAGAACCAGUAUUCAUUAAGAUAGUUUGGAUAUCUGUGACAUUUUAUAUACAAUGUAGCUUCAAUACUGAUGAAUUUUUCAUAAUAAUUGGAGGUUAGAAAUGGAAGAAUGAAUCUCUUUGUGAAAAUGAAUAAUUUUACUUGUAUAAACAUCAUUCCUUGUAAAGGAAAAUUAAAUUCAACAUCAUUUUGUCAUUCAUCAAUAACAAAUAUUAUUAUUUGAUGAUGAUUAAAACUUAUGAAGAAUUGAAAUGAUUUGCUGUGCUGUUCAAAUGUAAUAAGCCAUGCCAGGCUCAUUGACAGGCUAUAAAGAUGUAGGAAGGAACUAGGAUUUUAUACUAAAUAAUGGGCUUAUUUCGGGUUUGUAAUUGAGAUGGGUGGGAUAUGGUAAACUGCAUGUAGAAGAUUUGGAGGAAUCGCAUGAUAGCAAUAAAGAAAAAUAAAAAAAGAUGUGUGGUCAUUUAGAUUUUUCAUGCUAUGCUGCCAGUUCAAAAGACAUCAGUUCUGAUGUUUUAGGAGUUUUCUAUUCUUUCCUGUAAAGAAAGUUUAAGCUAAGUUUGUUUUUUGUUGCAUAUAUUGUAUUUAUCCAGAUGUGGUAGAGUAUGAUUUUUUUUCUAGAAUAAUUUCAUUGUAAAAGAAAUGGUUUUGGUUUUACCGAAAAAGUCUUGCCUUACUUUGGUAUUUGUUGUCAUUUAGAUAGAAUUAUUUAUCAUCCUCAUAAUUUUUUCUAAAUUAUUUAAUUUUUAGUGAACAAAUUGACUCGGCUGUAACUUUUAUUGUAAAUUUGAUAAAACCUUCAUUCCUGUAACAUGCAAAAUUUUCAGCGAAUACUUAAUAUGUAUCAAACAUGUUGAAAAAAAUGAAUUAUUUAGAAAAAAAGAUACCCAUCUGUAUACCAUUCAUGUAUUUUUUACUGUGACAUUUCAAAACGAAAAAAAAAUCAAAAAAAUCUAGAAGACGGAUUGUUACAAUAAAAAUAUUCUUGUCUGGAUCAGUAUUCUCAAGCAGCUGUUUGCAAUUUUAACAGUUUUAACAGUCUUAAAAUGGUGGUACUCUUGUUAUCUCUUAGAACGACCACAGGGGAAAGGCAAAGACUAACCCCCACCCCUUCUAUGCUUAUAUAGUGUGGGGUUAGUCUGUGCCUGGCCCCUGAGAGUAAGACUAAUCGGGUAUUGUGUUGUGGAACAAGUUAACAUGUAAUUAACAUAUUGCUAUCAAGUGUCUGUGAUGAAGUUGAUUUCAGGUAUGAUCUGUGAUUGAUAUCUCUUAGUUGUGUUUAUUGUGAUAUUUUCAUGACAUUCCGUUGUUUUUAUUUAACACAAGGUAUCGUUUACUUAAAUCCGUCCAAAUACUGUAGUUUCCUGCAGAUAGUCAAGUGUUACUUUUAAAUGAGAUUUUUAUUUUAUGUUAUUAGAUAGAAAAUAACUUAUAAUCAAUAUAUAAUUUAAUUAGUCUGGUUUGUUUUAGAUUUAUUUUCCUAUGACGUAGAUAUCUAAAAUAUUCAAACAUGCCAUUAUGUAUACCUGGAAAAUUUUGCAGAGCAAAGCUUUCACCCUCGGCAGAAUAAUCCAUAUUAACCUAGUGUUAAUUUCGCCCUUCACAUUUAAUAACUAAGCAUAUUGUGUUGUUUAUAAUUAUUCACUGUAAUGAUAAAUUUGACACCUUCAUUACGUCAGGCGAAAAAAAGGCGAAAAAUUAUACUGCAGCGAAAAAUUCUUGGUAUACAGUUUUCAAUUUGAUUUUUUUUAGGAUGAUUUUUUUUUUUGAGAAUAUUGAUUUAUACAUUUAAAUAUUGGAUUCUGUCAUUGAAUCAUCAAAUGAUGUGGAAACUUGUGUCAUAGAAAAUAUGAAUUAAUCCAAGCUGACAAGGCAGUAAACAACAAGAGUCUAGGAACAGAUAUUUAAAGCAUUGUUAGCUUAAGCAGACAUUUUAACAAUGAUUUUUGUCUCGUUAUUAUGAUAAUUUUUUUAUGUUCCUGGUCUUCACACAUCAUAUUAACUCAUUCACCACUGAAGAAACAUUUGAACUCUUCCAAUUCAAAGGUUGGAAUAAUUCAUUAUGAAAUUUCAGGGGUGAAUGAGUUAAUUUUCUGUUCAGUACAUGUAUUUGUACCAUAGAUCUUUUAUUUCAACCUUUUAAGCUGACAAGGCUUUGAAGUAGUGGGAUGAACUUUUUUACUUAUGUAUUCUCAGUUAACUGUACAUUAAAAUAAAAGAGUAAUGUUGUAGCUACAAUAUUUCCUAUUUCAUUUUUUUUUAAUGUUUCAAAUGUAGGAAAAAUUGAGGAUUUCAUUGUAUUUUCUUUGAAUUAGUUUUAAGUUAUAGAUAAUUUUUACGAUUAUUUUUUCUUUUUCACUUUUUAUUCCUGAAAUUUUAUUCACAUAUAUGUAUUAAAAUUGUUUAUGAAUUAAUUGUUGCAUAAAAAAUGGGAAUUUUUGUUUAUUGGGAAAUCUGUAAUAAUUUGAAAGUUCAAGUAGAUCUGACAAAACUUACCGGUACCAAAAUAAUUCCAGAAUAAUUUGAUUUCAGUGUGUAUAUGUUACAUGGUAUGAAGUUUAAACAGCAUUUCUAUGAGUCUGUCCACGUAAAUUGUCCACUUCAGACCUGAGUCAGUGAACAUGUGUUUGUACGUUUAUAUCUUUUCAAUGCAUUUUUCGCUUUGAACCUGGGGUGAAGUUCAAAGCUCUUUAUCAACGAAUCAUUAUCUGUCCCUGUAGCUUUAUAGUAUAGCAUUGUCUUCAGUGCCACCAACUUGCUGCUAAAUGAUGAUGACUUAAGGAUGUAUGCUACUUUACACAUAACAUCUGUGACUUGUGAUGGAGUUGACCACUUGAAAAAAUAACAAAUACCUAAUGGCCAUGCAUCAAUGUUUACAUAUAGUAACUGAGCUCAUUUUGUUUCCUGAGCGCCUCUACUAGGAGUCGAACACCUGACUACAGAUCUCUAGUCCAGUGCUGUACUGGUUGAACUAAAGGGAAUUUCCCUCUAGGUGCAUCAGUAACAAGUGACAAGAUUUGUCAACACUGACUUAUAUUACCGGUAAUUGUCUUAUCAAUAAAUCAACUUUGUCCUGAUCAAAGUAUGUUAUUGUACAGGUUUCAUAAUAUAGACCUGUUAUGGACCUUAAGUUGUAAGGUAACAUAUGUCCUUAAGUUGUAGAGCAACAUAUCUCCUUAAGUUGCAAGGUAACAUACAUCCUUAAGUUGUAAAGUAACAUAGUCCUUAAGUUGUAAGGUAACAUACAUCCUUAAGUUGUAAAGUAACAUAGUCCUUAAGUUGUAAGGUAACAUACGUACUUAAGUUGUAGAGUAACAUACAUCCUUAAGUUGUAAGGUAACAUACGUACUUAAGUUGUAAACAUACCUACUUAAGUUGUAAGGUAACAUGCGUACUUAAGUUGUAAAGUAACAUAGUCCUUAAGUUGUAAGGUAACAUACAUACUUAAGUUGUAAGGUAACAUACAUCCUUAAGUUAUAAAGGAACAUACCUCCUUAAGUUGUAGAGUAGCAUACCUCCUUAAGUUGUAGCAAUGAAGACCAGCAGGAUAACUGUCUAUAGCCACUGUAGCACAUACAGCUAAAACAUGUAUCUACACCUAAGCUACCUGUCAUAUUAAAGUUAUAUAUAUUUAUUUACUGUU